rnacentral:rRNA from 1 species
AGAUUGAACGCUGGCGGCAUGCCUAACACAUGCAAGUCGAACGGGAGUAGCAAUACUCUAGUGGCGGACGGGUGAGGAAUACGUAGGAAUUUGCCCUUAAGUGGGGGAUAACCCGGGGAAACCCGGAUUAAUACCGCAUGACCUCGAAAGAGCAAAGUGGGGGAUCGCAAGACCUCACGCUUUUGGAGAAGCCUACGUCGGAUUAGCUAGUUGGUAGGUAAGUAGGCGUACCAAGG